AUUGAACGCUGGCGGCAUGCUUUACACAUGCAAGUCGAACGGUAACAGGCCUUCGGGCGCUGACGAGUGGCGAACGGGUGAGUAAUGCAUCGGAACGUGCCCAGUCGUGGGGGAUAACGCAGCGAAAGCUGUGCUAAUACCGCAUACGAUCUGCGGAUGAAAGCGGGGGACCUUCGGGCCUCGCGCGAUUGGAGCGGCCGAUGUCAGAUUAGGUAGUUGGUGGGGUAAAGGCUCACCAAGCCAACGAUCUUUAGCUGGUCUGAGAGGACGACCAGCCACACUGGGACGAGGAAACGGCCCAGACUCCUACGGGAGGCAGCGGUGGGGAAUUUUGGACGAUGGGCGCAAGCCUGAUCCAGCAAUGCCGCGUGCAGGAAGAAGGCCUUCGGGUUGUAAACUGCUUUUGUACGGAGCGAAAAGGCUCCCUCUAAUACAGGGGGCUCAUGACGGUACCGUAAGAAUAAGCACCGGCUAACUACGUGCCAGCCGCCGCCGUAACAC
rnacentral:rRNA from 1 species